GGCGGGGCCCGGAGUUAGGAGCCAGCGCUCGGCGCCCACGCCCCGCACCGGCGCAGCAAAGUGUUCAGAAGAACCAAUGUGUUUUCCCAAGAAAAAGAAAUCAGGAACCUGGUGUAUUGUGCCUGAUGCUUUAGGUAAACUAAUCCAAAUCAGAACCAAGGAAUGAACUAAUUGAGUAGCGAGUGUGGACCACAGUUGCAAAGGAAGGAAACUCACAAGCGAGCUCUCCAAGCUGUGACCAUGUGGCAGGAAGAUUGGCCUGGGCUGUGGCAGGAAGAUUGGCCUGGGCGAAGAGAAGAUGAAGAGCCAUCACUCCAGCCAAACAGCAAAUAAGAAAUUCAAAUUAUGCUUUGUAAUUUUUCAAUGAGCAGUGCUGUGUAUCUGUGGAAAUCA